rnacentral:rRNA from 1 species
UACGAAGGGGGCUAGCGUUGCUCGGAAUUACUGGGCGUAAAGGGCGCGUAGGCGGUCUUGUCAGUCCCUUGUGAAAUCCCCCGGCUCAACUGGGGAACUGCACGGGAAACAGCAGGGCUUGAGUUCGGGAGAGGGAAGCGGAAUUCCGGGUGUAGCGGUGAAAUGCGUAGAUAUUCGCAAGAACACCAGUGGCGAAGGCGGCUCACUGGCCCGGUACUGACGCUGAGGUGGACGAAAGCGUGGGGAGCAAACAGG